rnacentral:rRNA from 1 species
AUUGAACGCUGGCGGAAUGCUUUACACAUGCAAGUCGAACGGUAGAGGGGGCAACCCCUCGAGAGUGGCGAACGGGUGAGUAAUAUAUCGGAACGUGCCCAGUCGUGGGGGAUAACGUAGCGAAAGUUACGCUAAUACCGCAUACGAUCUAAGGAUGAAAGCGGGGGAUCGCAAGACCUAGCGCGAUUGGAGCGGCCGAUAUCAGAUUAGGUAGUUGGUGGGGUAAAGGCUCACCAAGCCAACGAUCUGUAGCUGGUCUGAGAGGACGACCAGCCACACUGGAGCUAAGACACGGUCCGGACUCCUACGGGAGGCAGCAGUGGGUAAUUUUGGACAAUGGACGCAAGUCUGAUCCAGCCAUUCCGCGUGCAGGAUGAAGGCCCUCGGGUUGUAAACUGCUUUUGUACGGAACGAAAAGGUCUCUCUUAAUACGGGGGACUCAUGACGGUACCGUAAGAAUAAGCACCGGCUAACUACGUGCCAGCCGCCGCCGUAA